CCUACGGGAGGCAGCAGUGAGGAAUAUUGGUCAAUGGGCGCGAGCCUGAACCAGCCAAGUAGCGUGAGGGAUGACUGCCCUACGGGUUGUAAACUUCUUUUAUCAAGGAAUAAAGUGAGGCACGUGUGCCUUUUUGUAUGUACUUUAUGACUAAGGAUCGGCUAACUCCGUGCCAGCAGCCGCGGUAAUACGGAGGAUCCGAGCGUUAUCCGGAUUUAUUGGGUUUAAAGGGAGCGUAGAUGGGUUGUUAAGUCAGUUGUGAAAGUUUUCGGCUCAACCGUAACAUUGCAAUUGAUACUGGCAGCCUUGAGUUGAGUUGAGGUAGGCGGAAUGCGUGGUGUAGCGGUGAAAUGCUUAGAUAUCACGAAGAACCCCGAUUGCGAAGGCAGCUUACUAAACUGUGACUGACAUUGAUGCUCGAAAGUGUGGGUAUCAAACAGGAUUAGAUACCCGGGUAGUC
rnacentral:rRNA from 1 species